GGCCACAUAUUGUAUUACUCUGUGCACUGAUAUUUAAGGCCUACUGAAAUGAGAUUUUCUUAUUUAAACGGGGAUAGCAGGUCCAUUCCAUGUGUCAUACUUGAUCAUUUCGCGAUAUUGCCAUAUUUUUGCUGAAAGGAUUUAGUAGAGAACAUCGACGAUAAAGUUCGCAACUUUUGGUGCUGAUAAAAAAGCCUCGCCUUUUCCGUAAGUCGCAGACGAUGACGUCACAAGGGUGAGGGCUCCUCACGUCCUCACAUUGUUUUUAAUGGGAGCCUCCAGCAGCAAGAGCUAUUUGGACCGAGAAAACGACAAUUUCCCCAUUAAUUUGAGAGAGGAUGAAAGAUUUGUGGAUGGUGAUAUUAAUAGCAAAGGACUAGAAAAAAAUUAAAAUAAUAAAAUAAGAAGCGACGGCUCCGGGCGGCGGCAGUGUGAGCGUUUCAGAUGUGAUUAGACACAUUUACUAGGAUAAUUCUGGAAGAUCCCUUUUAAUAGUGUUUUAGUGAGAUUGUAAAGACAUACCUCGAGGUCGGAUGACUGCGGUGAACACGCAGUUUCUCAGAGAGAAGCCGAGGAGCCAAGCUCACAGCUGCCUUUUAAACAGCUACUGCAGGAGGACGAAUAAUCCAAUGAUGUCUCCGGCAGUCGUCUUCAUAAAUCUCAUAAGAAUAACACCAAACAGAAGUUACAACAUCUUCACCUUGCCACACUGCGAGUCAGGAUUCAUAAAUGAAUAUGACUUCCAUUCAUACUUGCCAACCGUCCAGGAUUUUCCGGGAGACUCCCGAAAUUCAGCGCCUCACCCGAAAAACCUCCGGAAAUUCAGCCGGAGCUGGAGGCCACGCCCCCUCCAGCGCCUUGCGGACCUGAGUGGGGACAGCCUGUUUUGACGUCCGCUUUCCCACUGUAUAAACAGCUUGCCUGCCCAAUCACGUUACAACAUCUAGGGAUUUGAGUGAUUCUAUGUUGUCUGUUGCCAUCUCCUGGUGAAUGUUGGGGUUGCUUUUUGAUUGGCCAACGAUUUACAUGGUGUUGGGCACCUGACGGCAAGUGAGGGAGUCUGCUCUGAAGCCCACAGUAAAGAGACGUAACUUCA